rnacentral:rRNA from 1 species
CGAGUGGCGGACGGGUGAGGAAUACAUCGGAAUCUACUCUGUCGUGGGGGAUAACGUAGGGAAACUUACGCUAAUACCGCAUACGACCUACGGGUGAAAGCAGGGGAUCUUCGGACCUUGCGCGAUUGAAUGAGCCGAUGUCGGAUUAGCUAGUUGGCGGGGUAAAGGCCCACCAAGGCGACGAUCCGUAGCUGGUCUGAGAGGAUGACCAGCCACACUGGAACUGAGACACGGUCCAGACUCCUACGGGAGGCAGCAGGG